ensembl:snRNA U2 U2 spliceosomal RNA
AUCGCUUCUCAGCCUUUUGGCUAAGAUCAAGUGUAGGAACUGAACCCAGGGCCUUUGGACUGAGCUGGGGCCCUACCCCUUUUUUAUUUUGAGAUAGGGUUUUACUAAGUCUCUAAGUUGAGCCGGCUGGGCUUGGUCUUGUCAUCCUCCUGCCUCAGCCUCCCAGA